UGGGGAAUAUUGCACAAUGGGCGAAAGCCUGAUGCAGCAACGCCGCGUGAGUGAUGAAGGUCUUCGGAUUGUAAAGCUCUGUCUUUUGGGACGAUAAUGACGGUACCAAAGGAGGAAGCCACGGCUAACUACGUGCCAGCAGCCGCGGUAAUACGUAGGUGGCGAGCGUUGUCCGGAUUUACUGGGCGUAAAGGGUGCGUAGGCGGAUGUUUAAGUGAGAUGUGAAAUACCCGGGCUUAACUUGGGUGCUGCAUUUCAAACUGGAUAUCUAGAGUGCAGGAGAGGAGAAUGGAAUUCCUAGUGUAGCGGUGAAAUGCGUAGAGAUUAGGAAGAACACCAGUGGCGAAGGCG
rnacentral:rRNA from 1 species